UGCAUUUUAUCCAUGGAUGUGGAAUUGCUCACUUAGAUGUAAAACCUGAUAAUAUUUAUGUGAAGAAUGGAGUUUAUAAACUUGGUGAUUUUGGAUGUGCAACUCUCCUUAAUCAGAGCUUGCCAAUUGAAGAGGGUGAUGCGCAUUAUAUGCCUCAAGAAAUCUUGAAUGAGAAUUACAAUCAUCUUGACAAAGUUGAUAUCUUUUCCUUGGGAGCUGCUAUCUAUGAGCUUAUUAGAGGUUCACCUUUACCCAAAUCAGGAUCUCAAUUUUUCAGCCUUAGGGAGGGAAAACUGCCACUUCUUGCUGGCCAUUCAUUGCAUUUUCAGAACUUACUCAAGG
rnacentral:misc_RNA from 1 species